AAAUUGAAGAGUUUGAUCAUGGCUCAGAUUGAACGCUGGCGGCAGGCCUAACACAUGCAAGUCGAACGGUAGCACAGAGAGCUUGCUCUCGGGUGACGAGUGGCGGACGGGUGAGUAAUGUCUGGGAAACUGCCUGAUGGAGGGGGAUAACUACUGGAAACGGUAGCUAAUACCGCAUAACGUCGCAAGACCAAAGAGGGGGACCUUCGGGCCUCUUGCCAUCAGAUGUGCCCAGAUGGGAUUAGCUAGUAGGUGGGGUAAUGGCUCACCUAGGCGACGAUCCCUAGCUGGUCUGAGAGGAUGACCAGCCACACUGGAACUGAGACACGGUCCAGACUCCUACGGGAGGCAGCAGUGGGGAAUAUUGCACAAUGGGCGCAAGCCUGAUGCAGCCAUGCCGCGUGUAUGAAGAAGGCCUUCGGGUUGUAAAGUACUUUCAGCGGGGAGGAAGGUGUUGUGGUUAAUAACCACAGCAAUUGACGUUACCCGCAGAAGAAGCACCGGCUAACUCCGUGCCAGCAGCCGCGGUAAUACGGAGGGUGCAAGCGUUAAUCGGAAUUACUGGGCGUAAAGCGCACGCAGGCGGUCUGUCAAGUCGGAUGUGAAAUCCCCGGGCUCAACCUGGGAACUGCAUUCGAAACUGGCAGGCUAGAGUCUUGUAGAGGGGGGUAGAAUUCCAGGUGUAGCGGUGAAAUGCGUAGAGAUCUGGAGGAAUACCGGUGGCGAAGGCGGCCCCCUGGACAAAGACUGACGCUCAGGUGCGAAAGCGUGGGGAGCAAACAGGAUUAGAUACCCUGGUAGUCCACGCCGUAAACGAUGUCGACUUGGAGGUUGUUCCCUUGAGGAGUGGCUUCCGGAGCUAACGCGUUAAGUCGACCGCCUGGGGAGUACGGCCGCAAGGUUAAAACUCAAAUGAAUUGACGGGGGCCCGCACAAGCGGUGGAGCAUGUGGUUUAAUUCGAUGCAACGCGAAGAACCUUACCUACUCUUGACAUCCAGAGAACUUUCCAGAGAUGGAUUGGUGCCUUCGGGAACUCUGAGACAGGUGCUGCAUGGCUGUCGUCAGCUCGUGUUGUGAAAUGUUGGGUUAAGUCCCGCAACGAGCGCAACCCUUAUCCUUUGUUGCCAGCGGUUAGGCCGGGAACUCAAAGGAGACUGCCAGUGAUAAACUGGAGGAAGGUGGGGAUGACGUCAAGUCAUCAUGGCCCUUACGAGUAGGGCUACACACGUGCUACAAUGGCGCAUACAAAGAGAAGCGACCUCGCGAGAGCAAGCGGACCUCAUAAAGUGCGUCGUAGUCCGGAUUGGAGUCUGCAACUCGACUCCAUGAAGUCGGAAUCGCUAGUAAUCGUAGAUCAGAAUGCUACGGUGAAUACGUUCCCGGGCCUUGUACACACCGCCCGUCACACCAUGGGAGUGGGUUGCAAAAGAAGUAGGUAGCUUAACCUUCGGGAGGGCGCUUACCACUUUGUGAUUCAUGACUGGGGUGAAGUCGUAACAAGGUAACCGUAGGGGAACCUGCGGUUGGAUCACCUCCUUACCUUAAAGAA
rnacentral:rRNA from 1 species